GAUGAACGCUGGCGGCGUGCCUAAUACAUGCAAGUCGAGCGAACAGACGAUAAGCUUGCUCCUUUGACGUUAGCGGCUGACGGGUGAGUAAGACGUGGGUAACCUACCUAUAAUACUGGGAGAACUUCGGGAAACCGGAGCUAAUACCAGAUAAUAUUUCCAACCGCAUGGUUCGAUAGUGAAAGAUGGCUCUGCUAUCACUUAUAGAUGGUGCGGCGCCGGAUUAGCUAGUUGGUAAGGUAACGGCUUACCAAGGCAACGAUACGUAGCCGACCUGAGAGGGUGAUCGGCCACACUGGAACUGAGACACGGUCCAGACUCCUACGGGAGGCAGCAGUAGGGAAUAUUGGGCAAUGGGCGAAAGCCUGACGGAGCAACGCCGCGUGAGUGAUGAAGGUCUUCGGAUCGUAAAACUCUGUUAUUAGGGAAGAACAACAGUGUAAGUAACUGUGCACGUCUUGACGGUACCUAAACAGAAAGCCACGGCUAACUACGUG
rnacentral:rRNA from 1 species